AAAACCUAAUCUCCCACCGAUGGCCUCCGCCAACGAGCAGCGAUCCCAGGCCGAGCUCCUCUUCAGUCUCUGCAAGCAGACCGAUCCUGACUUGCUCUCACUCAAACUCGCUCACCUCCUCCAAUUCUCUCCGGCGCAGGAGGCCCGGGCCAUGUCCGCCAUUCUCCUCCGCAGGCAGCUCACCCGCGACGACUCCUAUAUCUGACCCAGGCUCUCCCCGACGACGCAGUCCAGCCUCAAAUCGAUUCUCCUGUCCUGUAUUCAACGCGAGUCAAAUCGAUUUCCAAGAAGCUCUGCGACACCAUCUCCGAGCUCGCCUCCGAAAUCUUGCCGGACAACGGCUGGCCGGAGCUCCUCCCGUUCAUGUUCCGGAGAUAGGGAUAGGUUUCAGGACCUAUUUCCGGCGAUGAUGAGGACAUUCAUGGAGUCUUUGAACAACGGGAACGAGGCCACGGCACAGGAGGCACUCGAGUUGUUCAUCGAAUUGGCUGGGACCGAGCCAAGGUUCCUCAGGAGGCAGAUUUUGGAGGUGGUUGGUUCUAUGCUGCAUGUUGCUGAAGCUGAGUCCUUGGAAGAAGGGACCAGACACUUGGCCAUAGAGUUUGUAAUCACUCUAGCCGAGGCCAGCGAUGGAGCCCCGGGGAUGAUGAGGAAGUUGCCGCAGUUUAUUAGUAGGUUGUUUGCCAUUUUGAUGAAGAUGGUUUUGGAUAUUGAGGAUGAUCCCUCAUGGCAUACCGCGGAGACUGAAGAUGAGGAUGCUGGUGAGUGGUAAUUACAGUGUUGGGCAGGAGUGUUUGGAUAGGCUUGCCAUUUCCUUGGGUGGGAAUACCAUUGUUCCCAUCGCGUCCGAGCAGUUGCUUGCCUAUUUGGCUGACUCCGAGUGGCAGAAACACCAUGCAGCAUUGAUUGCCCUUGCAUAGAUUGCUGAGGGUUGUUCUAAGGUAAUGAUAAAAAAUUUGGAGCUAGUGGUGGCAAUGGUCUUGAACUCGUUUCAAGAUCCUCAUCCUCGUGUAAGGUGGGCAGCUAUUAAUGUGAUUGGACAGCUGUCUACUGAUUUGGGCCCAGACCUGCAAGUUCAAUAUCAUCAACGGGUGCUUCCGGCAUUAGCUGUUGCCAUGGAUGAUUUUCAAAACCCUCGUGUGCAGGUACAUUGAUAUCAGUGGCUAAUUUAUUUAUCUGUAAUGACACUUGUGAAGAGAAAUAAGAGUGUCUAAGAAGCUGACAUUCUUGGUGGCUUGAACAAGAUAAUAGUUGGUGUAUUAUUAGGAGACUAUAUCUAAGGCUCUUUUUCUUAUUGGUUACCACAAGUGUAGAGGUAUUGUCAAUCGAGACUUCACGAGAGGAGCGGUGACUGAUAGGCUACCCUAGUCACAAAGGAUCAAUCUGAUUGGAUUAUUGAACAAUUAUAGCAUCUGUCUCCAAAAUCAGCAUGAACACCAUAUGACUGCUAAGCACUAGUGCAUCUCACAUGCGUUAUUGUCUUGUAGGGUUCCAGACGUGAACAUAUUUCUUGAUUUGUUAUGCCAGAUGAAUGCAAACUUGUGUUUCACACAGUGAUAGAUGCCAUAUUUAUUGAGGCUAUGAAGAAAGUACUGUGAAUAUGGUUUUGAAAGAUGUAUCUCAUGGUACUGGGGAUUUAUUUGUUAUGUAGCAGCAGUCAUCCGAAAAUUGUUAUUAGGCUUUCAUAGGUAGGAAACAAAAUGACUGGAAUCUGGUGAAUUAGUUAUUAGAUGCGAUUUAAAUUCAAUGCAAAUUUUUACUGGAUCUAUAAAAGAACGUGAAAACUUGGAUCCUAUAGUAGAUAUAUUAUGGAUGCUAAACUUAUGAUUUGCAAAGUAUAUUUUCACUUCUUUUUUUUUCCUUUUAGCUCAGAUUUAUUGCAAGUUAAUUCUCUCCCUUCUGUUGUUGCAAAACUUUUCCUUGCUUGGUGGGUUUAUAUUGGAACAGAUUUCUCAAUGAAAUCUUUACUGCCAUUGGCCGGGGAUGUCAUUCUUCUUUUCAUUAUUACGUGGUUCAUGACAUUUUUCACGUAGAAAACUAAAGGCCAAACCAUUUGUAGUUCCAUAGAUUCUGGAGGUCAAUUGACAGCUCAUUAUUCUUACGAGUGGCUUAGACAUUGAUUGUUUCUAUUUUAGAAUUCUCUAAAUUGAUGAAUGUCUGUCUAGAAUCCCCACCUUUGUAUCCCUUAAAAGAAUGAAUUAUGUUAUAAGCAGAUAAUAAGUGCCACUUUUGUAUGCUGUCAUAGAAUUCCAAUAAUUUCUCAGUGAUAGGAACUCAUGCAUACCUGUCCUAUUUUCUAAUACAAUCCCUUAUAUCUCAGAAUUGUGGAUUUUCUGGCUAUAGAGUGCUUUUCUUGGUUUUGUUACUUGAAUUUCUGAUUAAGCAUACUCUGAUAUAUUAUUUGAUAUUAAAAAACAUUCUUGCAUUAGCUUCCGUUCAUUUGGAUAUCGUAUAAGCCGUAUACUAUUAUUAUCUUCAAAAUGAAUACAUUCCUCUAAGAAUUGCGAAUUAUAGUUUCAGUUGAAAAAUGCAAUUGGAAUUAUUUAAAGCUUGUUAUGUGCUAGAGGGACACAUAUUUCCUACAUCUGCUUGUAUUCAGUUCUGCUCUAUCAGCAAAGACUCUGAGCCCACAAUACCCUGCUUAAUGCCUGUAAAGGGGAACUAUUUCUCUUGAAUUGUUUUUGUACUUUAAAAUGUUGUGAGACAAGUAUAUUCAUUUGAAAAGUUGUGCAACAUAUGUAAAUAUGGAGGUAUACUAGAGAGGCUCUAAAGAAACAAAAAGUACAUGAAGUAACAACCAGACUCCGGAAAGUUAGAACAUCAAAUGGUAUCCGAAUUCUCCUUGACCUGGUUGAUGUGAGUCAUCAGUAGCAUUUGUUCAAGACUUGCUUGCUGGGGAUGCCAAUGGUUGGCUUCACUUGCUUAACCAAAUGCUUGUGAAUCUGAACAAUGGUCUUGUAAAAGGGGCUGUACUUAAUUUGUUCUUUGAAUAACUAGAAACUUCUCAAACAAAUCCAGUUUGGCUUUAUCAAACUGAAAGGAGAUAAUACACUACAGCCCCCUUCAAUCUCUCUGAGUGAAUUGCGUUAAGAGCCCCCUUCCCCCUUCAAUCUUUCUCAUUGGCAUAUAUUUACACUGCAGAUGGCUCCUUAUGAUCUUCUUUUUGUAGUUUUUGUUUUGCACAGAAGUUCUGGGAGAUACACUUGCAACUCAUUUAGACAAAUGCCUCGUGUUUAUAUUGGGUGCAUGAAGUCAAGCAAAGUUUUCUCUGAGCCGAGUCAAAAGUGGUAUGAACCAGAACGGUGGAAGGUUGGUGAUAAAAAAUUAUAUUUUCGCCAAGCUUCAGGUGAGAUGUAUGUCAUUUCUCAAGGUCUGCCCAAAUUUGUUUGAAUAAAUUGCUCCUAUCAUCAUUAGUUUCAUCAAGGAACAAGCACUACAAAAAAGAAUUGAUGUAAUUGAUAUUUUCGCCAUGCUUCAUGUGAGAUGUAUGACAUUUCUCAAGGUCUGGCCAAUUUUGUUCGAAUAAAUAGAGAUAUUCUCCGUACCUAUGCACAUGAUGAUGUCUGUGUCGGAUCUUGGUUAAUUGGGCUUGAUGUUAAACAUCUUAAUGACGCCAAGUUUUGCUGCUCCUCUUGGACAGCAGGAGCCAUUUGUGUUGGUGUAUGAUUUGAUUUGCUUUGAGGUGGUGGAUCAAAGUAAAACCAGAUGCAGGGAGAUGGUUUAAAAGACAUUGGAUUCAUAUCCAUGAGAUGUUUGCAGCCUGCACAAUGUAGAGUAUGAAGAUCAAGGAAAAACCAUAUCUGUGAUUGAGAAUUUAUUCUAAGCGUCUUACCCGUAGGUGAAGUAGCUUUGUUCCCAUUAUAGUACACUGCAGAUAGGAAAGAAGGGAUUUCAACAAACUAUGCCUAGAGAAGGCAGUCGUAUAGCUUUAUAGGUUUAAAUUUGUUAAUUUAAUAGUGUAAUGGAGGGUGUUCUUAUUGCAACAUAAUCAAACACAUUUCUUUUGUAGCAUGUUGAUUCGCCUUGGGUUAUUCUUUAUUCAGAGUAGUAAAAAUUUUGGAUUCCCUUUGAAA